rnacentral:lncRNA from 1 species
UUUUUUUUCUUGUGAAAGCUACAUUUGACAACAAGGAGCAAACAGCUCAGCGUAAAGAAGACCGGAGUGUCUGGAGGAAUGGAGAGGUAGCUGGGUGCCUCAAAGAAGAGAAGUUGUGCAGAUGUACUGAAGCGCUUGACUCAAACUGACUCUUUCAGGAGGACGCAGCUGGGAUCCUUCAUGGCCAAAUCCAGUUUUUCAGGCAAUCUUUUGGAAUUUGUCCGAGCCAAACCUCUGUAAUGAUGCCGCAUUCUCUGUUGCAUCAUCAUGGAUCAGAUCCAACUAGCACGAAACAUUAAUGUGUAUCAAGAUUACCUGUCAUCUAUGUCCUGGAUAGUAUCGGGCAAAGGUUGUGAAAGAGUUUCUGGAAGAAAGAAGGCAAAUAUUCCACUGACAAUAGGAGCCCCGCCAUAUAUAAAACCAGGUAUCCAUGGAUAAUCAUCUCCCAGAAGAAGAACCAUCGGGGCCACCAUUGCUCCAAACCGGGCCAUCAUGGACACCCACCCCAUCCCGCUCUGACUAAGAAGACACAAAACAAAAUAGCAUAAGAAAAAUAGUGUUAUAUAGUUUAACUUUAUUGUUUAGUAUAAUUGCUUUUCCUUCUCAUAGUGAUGUUAGUGCAGAUCAGUGCAGUGGUUUCUUUUACUAGAAAAAAAUGACUCUUUGUUGAUUAAUAAACAGUUAAAACCAGAGAAUAGAGAAAUAAUCUAUCCCAAUGGUUAAGAAGUGUUACAACCAUUUGCACAAGCGCAGUUCAGUUUGUUGCUGGCACUAGA